rnacentral:tRNA from 1 species
GCGAGAGUGGUGGAACGGCAGACACGCUAGAUUCAGGAUCUAGUGGGCAUUAGGCCUGUGAGGGUUCAAAUCCCUCCUCUCGCACCA